rnacentral:rRNA from 1 species
AGCUUUGAUAGUUAAAGUGUUAUGGAACCACUCUGAACCAUCUCGAACUCAGCUGUGAAACAUGAUAAACCGAUAAAAAUACUUAGAGAUAGCUCUCUUGGGAAAAUAGUUCAUUGUCAAAGUU